GUGCAGCAGUCGCGAAUUUUUCUCAAUGGGGGCAACCCUGAAGGAGCGACGCCGCGUGGAGGAUGAAGGCUUUCGGGUUGUAAACUCCUGUCAUUUGAGAACAAGGGUAAGCAAAUAACUACUGCUUAUUUGAUAGUAUCAGAAGAGGAAGGGACGGCUAACUCUGUGCCAGCAGCCGCGGUAAUACAGAGGUCCCAAGCGUUGUUCGGAUUCAUUGGGCGUAAAGGGUGCGUAGGUGGCGCCGUAAGUGGGGUGUGAAAUUUCGGAGCUUAACUUCGAAACUGCAUUCCAUACUGCGGUGCUUGAGGACUGGAGAGGAGACUGGAAUUUACGGUGUAGCAGUGAAAUGCGUAGAGAUCGUAAGGAAGACCAGUGGCGAAGGCGGGUCUCUGGACAGUUCCUGACACUGAGGCACGAAGGCUAGGGGAGCAAACGGGAUUAGAUACCCGUGUAGU
rnacentral:rRNA from 1 species